rnacentral:snRNA from 1 species
UCUCUAGUCUUUCUAUUU